AUAAAUAAUAUUUAUCGAUUGCACUGGUAUAUCGUCACCCAUUGUGAGAAGGCUCUACACCGUUUAUUUGUUGUCCAACUAUGGCUUUUAUUUAAAAAUAAAAAUCAAGAGAAAACAAAAAUCGUUAGCAAGUAGUACCCUCAUCGAAAUUUUAAGAAUUUAUACGAUCGAGAAUACACGCCUCACACAACGUGCGGUCCACUUACAAAAAUGCGCACCUGUAUUGGCGCUUUUAUCGCAUGUGAACAAGUCACCACCGCCGUUUUCUCUGAAAAAAUCUCACCGUGGCAGCUAAGGACGAACUGCUGUUUUCAAUAAAUAGCAAUCGCAAAGUACAGUGAAUCUUAUGAGCUUGGGUUCGAUACCAUGAUAAAGGAGUAUCUCGACAUCAUCGAAUUGAAUUUGGAAUUGAUCAAACACUCGCAGGUGAAGAUUGUCUUGGUAGCACCCGAAAUACAGGCUAAUAUACUUGUAAUCCGGUUACUUGAACAGCAUUUAGCUUCUCAAUAUGUGGAUGACCUGAAAAAGUUAUUUGACAUGUAUUCUGUGCCGACAAAAAAGAUCAUCCGACAAAUUCAAACAUCAUUCAUUGAGAUCGUUCAUCCGCAUUCGAAACUUGAAAACUUCAUAUUGUCGAACACUAUAAAAUAUAUAAUUUCCCUAAAAACUGGUGUUCCAAUGUAUAGCAUACCGUCGCUGGGGAGCUAUAGCCAUCGAGACCUAUUCACGUGGUUAGGGAAUAGGCCUUUUCAUCAUCAGAUGAGCACAAGCGUAGCCGCCAUGUUGAAACGGCGGUAAUUCAAAAAAAUUCGUACUGUUUUAAUCAACAAUGGCUGGGCAAGGACUAUUAUCUCCACAAAGAAAUAAAUUAUUGGAAAAAACCAUCGAUGGUGCUUCACUUAUUUAUGAUUCAGUUGAAGCUCAUAAUUGUGAACAAUUGAAAAGGUGGCUAAAAUGUCAUGGGCGUCCG